rnacentral:rRNA from 1 species
GGAGGAAAGCAGGGGAUCGCAAGACCUUGCGCUCAUUGAGCGGCCGAUGCCUGAUUAGCUAGUUGGUGAGGUAAAGGCUUACCAAGGCGACGAUCAGUAGCUGGUCUGAGAGGACGACCAGCCACACUGGGACUGAGACACGGCCCAGACUCCUACGGGAGGCAGCAGUGGGGAAUUUUGGACAAUGGGGGAAACCCUGAUCCAGCCAUGCCGCGUGAGUGAAGAAGGCCUUCGGGUUGUAAAGCUCUUUCAGCCGGAACGAAACGGUCACGGCUAAUACCUGUGACUACUGACGGUACCGGAAGAAGAAGCACCGGCUAACUACGUGCCAGCAGCCGCGGUAAUACGUAGGGUGCGAGCGUUAAUCGGAAUUACUGGGCGUAAAGCGUGCGCAGGCGGUUUUGUAAGUCAGAAGGGAAAUCCCCGGGCUUAACCUGGGAACUGCGUUUUUUAAAGGAAGCUAGAAGGGC